rnacentral:rRNA from 1 species
UACAGAGGCCUCGAGCGUUAGGCGGAAUCACUGGGCUUAAAGCGUGUGUAGGCGGACUUCUAAGUACCUUGUGAAAUCCCACGGCUCAACCGUGGAACUGCUUGGUAUACUGGUUGUCUUGAGGCACUCAGGGGCGAGCGGAACAGAUGGUGGAGCGGUGAAAUGCGUAGAUAUCAUCUGGAACGCCAAUGGUGAAGACAGCUCGCUGGGGGUGUACUGACACUGAGACACGAAAGCCAGGGGAGCAAACGGG